GGGUGGUAUUGCUGGUUUGUGUAUUUAUUUAUUUCCGUUGCAGGUAAAUGAUAUCUGUAAGUGAGAGAACCUGCAGGAAUUAAGAGGACAGCUAAUAGGUUUCAAAAAAAGAAAUAAUGAAGAUGAUACCCUGCAGGGUAAUGGAUAGGGAGUAAUGACAGAAUCCUGCACCAAUGUAUUCAGGGUCAGUUCUGUUUCUGCUUAUCUUGGUGUAGGAUAACAUUUAAACCAUUGUGUUAAUUGUAUAUAUGAUCUGUACAAUCAUUAACAUGUGAUCUGGUCAGUUAUUACUAGUAAUAUUAUGUGUUAUAUAGGUAUCAAAAUAUACAAACAUUUUAUAUAUAUAUAUAUAUAUA